rnacentral:rRNA from 1 species
AGAGUUUGAUCCUGGCUCAGGAUGAACGCUGGCGGUAUGCUUAACACAUGCAAGUCGAACGAAAGCUUUAUGCUUUAGUGGCGAACGGGUGCGUAAUACGUGAGAAUCUACCCUUAGGAGGAGAAUAACUUCUGGAAACGGUUGCUAAGUCUCCAUAUGCCGAGAGGUAAAAUAGUUUAUACUGCCUAGGGAUGAGCUCACGCCUGAUUAGCUUGUUGGUAAGGUAAUGGCUUACCAAGGCCACGAUCAGUAGCUGGUUUGAGAGAACGAUCAGCCACACUGGGACUGAGACACGGCCCAGACUCCUCCGGGAGGCAGCAGUGAGGAAUUUUCCGCAAUGGGCGAAAGCCUGACGGAGCAAUACCGCGUGAGGGAUGAAGGAUUUUGGUCUGUAAACCUCUUUUCUCAAGAAAGAAGUUCUGACGGUACUUGAGGAAUAAGCAUCGGCUAACUCCGUGCCAGCAGCCGCGGUAAUACGGGGGAUGCAAGCGUUAUCCGGAAUCAUUGGGCGUAAAGCGCCUGUAGGUUGUUUAAUAAGUCUGUUGUUAAAGACUAGGGCUUAACCCUAGGAAAGCAAUGGAAACUACUAGACUUGAGUAUGAUAGGGGUAGGGGGAAUUUCUAGUGUAGCGGUGAAAUGCGUAGAUAUUAGAAAGAACACCGGUGGCGAAGGCGCCCUACUGGAUCAUUACUGACACUCAGAGGCGAAAGCUAGGGUAGCAAAAGGGAUUAGAUACCCCUGUAGUCCUAGCCGUAAACGAUGGAUACUACAUGUUGCGUUUU